GACGAACGCUGGCGGCGUGCUUAACACAUGCAAGUCGAACGGAAAGGCCCCCAUCUUGGUGGGGGUGCUCGAGUGGCGAACGGGUGAGUAACACGUGGGUGAUCUGCCCUGUACUUCGGGAUAAGCUUGGGAAACUGGGUCUAAUACCGGAUAGGACCAUGGUUUAGUGUCUCAUGGUGGAAAGAUUAUUGUUUUGGUGCAGGAUGAGCUCGCGGCCUAUCAGCUUGUUGGUGGGGUAAUGGCCUACCAAGGCGUCGACGGGUAGCCGGCCUGAGAGGGUGGACGGCCACAUUGGGGCUGAGAUACGGCCCAGACUCCUACGGGAGGCAGCAGUGGGGAAUAUUGCACAAUGGGCGCAAGCCUGAUGCAGCGACGCCGCGUGGGGGAUGACGGCCUUCGGGUUGUAAACUCCUUUCGUUAGGGACGAAGCCGCACUUUUUUUGGGUGUGGUGACGGUACCUUUGUUAAGAAGCACCGGCUAACUACGUG
rnacentral:rRNA from 1 species